AGUGAACGCUGGCGGUAGGCCUAACACAUGCAAGUCGAACGGCAGCACAGUAAGAGCUUGCUCUUACGGGUGGCGAGUGGCGGACGGGUGAGGAAUACAUCGGAAUCUACUUUUUCGUGGGGGAUAACGUAGGGAAACUUACGCUAAUACCUCAUACCACCUACGGGUGAAAGCAGGGGUUCUUCGGACCUUUCGCGAUUGAAUGAGCCGAUGUCGGUUUAGCUAGUUGGCUGGGUAAAGGCCCACCAAGGCAACGAUCCGUAGCUGGUCUGACAGGAUGAUCAGCCAAACUGGAACUGAGACACGGUCCAGACUCCUACGGGAGGCAGCAGUGGGGAAUAUUGGACAAUGGGCGCAAGCCUGAUCCAGCCAUACCGCGUGGGUGAAGAAGGCCUUCGGGUUGUAAAGCCCUUUUGUUGGGAAAGAAAAGCAGCAGGUUAAUACCCCGCUGUUCUGACGGUACCCAAAGAAUAAGCACCGGCUAACUUCGUG
rnacentral:rRNA from 1 species